rnacentral:rRNA from 1 species
AGGAGGGGAUAUGAGCUACCAUGAACCCCAUGGCCCGAUUACAUGACCCGAAUGAUUUAAAUCAAGGGUGGAGAAUGAGAGCAGUGAAAGAUCGAAAUUACCCAGAACACCUUGAUGACAUAAUCGCCCAGCUCACCUGGAGAUGGGGUUAGUAGUAGGGGAUGGACUGAGGACUGAGAGGACUGAGGACUGCGAAUAACAUGAGCCGUAUCAUCGAGAUCACUCAGAUCACCCAAAAAAUUGAUGACACGGCACCAUUCGGGGGGAGAGGACAUGAUGUGGGGUCGAAAACAUGUGUCAAAACAGUACGAUGCCAAGAAUAUUACCUGAUUCCUUAAAAAGGGGUUUGUAGCAAUGAUAGAUAUGACUCAGCCAUCUUCCAGGGCAUGUGCCCGGCGCUCCGGUCCCACAACCUCAAACAAAUAAUCACAACUUUCUGUCAGAAUUACCCGUCGC